rnacentral:lncRNA from 1 species
CUUAUCCGAGGUUCCAGGGAGGACGUUCAGGAGCCGGGACUGGAGCCGGUAUCUUUGCUGAAAACAACAUACUCUCCACUCUAAAGGAGCCAGAACCC